rnacentral:rRNA from 1 species
UACGUAGGUGGCAAGCGUUAUCCGGAUUUAUUGGGCGUAAAGGGAACGCAGGCGGUCUUUUAAGUCUGAUGUGAAAGCCUUCGGCUUAACCGGAGUAGUGCAUUGGAAACUGGGAGACUUGAGUGCAGAAGAGGAGAGUGGAACUCCAUGUGUAGCGGUGAAAUGCGUAGAUAUAGGGAAGAACACCAGUGGCGAAAGCGGCUCUCUGGUCUGUAACUGACGCUGAGGUUCGAAAGCGUGGGUAGCAAACAGG